rnacentral:rRNA from 1 species
CCAGCAGCUGCGGUAAUUCCAGCUCCAAUAGCGUAUAUUAAAGUUGUUGCAGUUAAAAAGCUCGUAGUUGGAUUUCAAGGGUCUCGCCGUGGAUACACGGUUGAAUCCUACCAGUCUUUGACUGUUACUGUGAGAAAAUUAGAGUGUUUCAAGCAGGCUAUUGCAGGAAUACAUUAGCAUGGAAUAACGAAUGUGUCUAGAAUCUUGGUUAAUUCUAGAAUACGAUUAAUAGGGACAGUUGGGGGCAUUAGUAUUUAAUUGUCAGAGGUGAAAUUCUUGGAUUUUUUAAAGACUAACGUAUGCGAAAGCAUUUGCCAAGGAUGUUUUCAUUAAUCAAGAACGAAAGU